CCAGACUCCUACGGGAGGCAGCAGUAGGGAAUCUUUCACAAUGGGCGAAAGCCUGAUGGAGCAAUGCCGCGUGAAGGAAGAAGGCUUUCGGGUUGUAAACUUCUUUGACAGGGGAAGAGCGGAAGACGGUACCCUGAAAACAAGCCACGGCUAACUACGUGCCAGCAGCCGCGGUAAUACGUAGGUGGCAAGCGUUGUCCGGAUUUACUGGGUGUAAAGGGAGCGUAGACGGCGAUGCAAGUCUGAAGUGAAAGGCGGGGGCCCAACCCCCGGACUGCUUUGGAAACUGUAUGGCUGGAGUGCAGGAGAGGUAAGUGGAAUUCCUAGUGUAGCGGUGAAAUGUGUAGAUAUUAGGAGGAACACCAGUGGCGAAGGCGGCUUACUGGACUGUAACUGACGUUGAGGCUCGAAAGCGUGGGGAGCAAACAGGAUUAGAUACCCGCGUACG
rnacentral:rRNA from 1 species